GCAGUCGCCACGGUAAUACAGAGGGUGCGAGCGUUAAUCGGAUUUACUGGGCGUAAAGCGUGCGUAGGCGGCUUCUUAAGUCGGAUGUGAAAUCCCUGAGCUUAACUUAGGAAUUGCAUUCGAUACUGGGAAGCUAGAGUAUGGGAGAGGAUGGUAGAAUUCCAGGUGUAGCGGUGAAAUGCGUAGAGAUCUGGAGGAAUACCGAUGGCGAAGGCAGCCAUCUGGCCUAAUACUGACGCUGAGGUACGAAAGCAUGGGGAGCAAACAGGAUUAGAUACCCCAGUAGUCCCUGUCUCUUAUAC
rnacentral:rRNA from 1 species